rnacentral:rRNA from 1 species
CCAGAGAUGGCUUGGUGCCUUCGGGAACUGUGAGACAGGUGCUGCAUGGCUGUCGUCAGCUCGUGUUGUGAAAUGUUGGGUUAAGUCCCGCAACGAGCGCAACCCUUAUCCUUUGUUGCCAGCGGUUCGGCCGGGAACUCAAAGGAGACUGCCAGUGAUAAACUGGAGGAAGGUGGGGAUGACGUCAAGUCAUCAUGGCCCUUACGACCAGGGCUACACACGUGCUACAAUGGC